GUAACCUGAAGCGUAUGUAACCUGAGGUACCACUGUAUAGCUCAUAAAGACUGCUAGUGACAGGUGUAUCUCCCAGCCUGUCAAGGUGGGAGUCAGCAAUAACUCACAAGGUGUUACUGACAUUUACACUUUAUUCAAAGAAAGAGCUCAGGGCUGUUGGGAAUUUCAUUCCUCCGUGCUGCAGAUAUGGGAUUGUUUCAUCACAUGUCUGUGUGUUUACAUUCCACAGUGUUGGAUGUCAUGGGAACGGAAGUUCAGAUACGCUCUUUCCGUGAUAUUGCUUUUGCUUUUCUCUUCUCUUGCUGAUGAAGAAAGUAAGAGGAGCCAAGUUUACGGAUAUCUGUCACACCCGUGGCUCGGGAGGAAGAUUAAUCACCCGAGUGGCACUUCGAAGGGAGUAACACACCAGCCAUGGUGUUGAUUCCCAAUAAGGCCUAGUGAUCGCAGCAACCCAGUGGGUCUUGCCCCAAUGAGGCAGUAGUGAGGACUGAAGGUCUCCCCCCCUUCCUACUCCUCUCCAAGGCUCUGCCCCCUCGGGUCCUUCCUUAGGAACCUGAGGCUCCUUCAUCUUGUCUCUCUUUGCUCUGUCCUCUUUAUACCUCUUCAGGUUCUGUGUCAAGUACGGAAGUUCCCCUCUCCCUUCUGGUAGCUCACCAAUUAGAAUUAAUGAGCAUUUGGUAGAUUUAUAGUCCUUCUAUUACAGCAUUAUGUUGCAAGCACAAACAGACAACCCUCCGCAAGGAGAUCAGUUGCCUACUCUGACUCCUCUCCCUGACUUCUGCAGCAAGAAGUGUGCCAAUGGGAAGUCCCUCCCCCUCUGCGUCUCCUUUGUUCUCUGACACGCUCGCGGACCUGUCAGUGUUUGUAGGAAGAAAAAAAACGGUUCUGGGAGAUGAUAUAUAAUGAAAUGAAAAAGGUAUUUUUUUAUAUAUAUAAUUGAUAUUUAUUGAAUUUUCAAAAAAUAACAACAAAAAUUUCCAAAAAAAAAAUUAAGGAUACAAAAAACAAAAAUAGUACAUAAACAAAAAAGAAAAGAAAACCCAGCCUCAAAGAAGAAAAAAAAAAAAGAGAAACAGAAAAACAAAAAUAUAAAAUCCUUUACAAUCUCUAUUGACUUCCUUUCUAGACUUCCUCCUCCUCCCCUCUUUUGUUUCUUAAUUUUUAAUUUUUACAGCAAAUCCUUUCUGUUUUUCAUAACAAUCUGUCAUUACGUUUCCUUAUUCUAUUUUCCCUCUUGUCAUAUAAAAACUUUAAAACUCAUAGCUUAUAUUCAAUAUUUACCAAAUUCUUGCAUCAUUACCUUUUUACGAAUCAUUUACCAAUCCUUACUUAAGCCAUGUAAUUUCAUUCAACAUCCUUCAAACAUUUGUAAGCAUUCCCAAUAUUAAAAAUAAAAAGAAAAAUAAUAAGUCAAAUUCAGUCCAGUCAGCUUCCAACCUCCCCUCCCUGGACCCGGGAUUGUCAGUCCUUUUAACCUCGAUAAUCCGGCUCCUUAACCUGGUUGUCUCGUAUCCGAGGCCCUCAAGUCUCUUUCUUGCCCCUUUCGCCACUCUUGUUGAUGAUUCCUUUCCAGUCGUGGAUGCUCCAGCAAGAAAAUGCUUUUGACCCUUUGCAGCAAGUCCAUCCCAGACCCAUUGCCCAAGCCAGACAGCAAAUAAUACCACUUCAAAUUUCCACAAAGCUUGGAGACUUCGGCUACUCCAAUCCUCUGAUAGCCCAUCACCAGACUCGGAAGGUCCAAAUAACCAUAUGGAGGGGUCGAUCCAUCCACCCAUUUCCAAAUCUGACCACAUUUCAUCUUUCCGAAUCUGGUUUGUCCCAAGUUCAUUUAUCAAGUUCAAAGGCUGAUCUUGCCCGUCCAAAGGUCCCUCCAUCUCUGAAGCCUCCGUCACUACAGCAGGUUCAUAUGCUUGUAUAGCCUUUAACUGAAUUUCAUUUAUUUGCUGCUGUGCUCUGGUAACUUCCAUCAUCAAGGUCGUCUCCUGACGCAUCUGGUCCAGCUGGGCACUUAGUUUUGAAAAACCUUCCAGGAACAAUUGUUCAAGCCUUUGUACUAGCAUUGUCCUUCAAGGUCAAAGAAAAUUCUUUCCCACGAGAAUAGUCCAAUAGUCCUUCUCUUUUAAUCUCUCUGCGUUGCAAUUUCACUAAAUUCCACUAGAUGGAAUUUUUUUUUUUAAAGGAAUAAAAGCAACAGCAACAAUCUUUCUUUUUCCAGAAACACUUUAUCCAAAAUUCCCCUUCCAAAUUCAAGAGGCAACAGUAGAAUCAAAAUGUUACCCUUCUUUUAACUAACUGUCGAGCUGGAUAAACUUCAGAACGUCAAUUCUGACAGCCCGCUCCUGGUUCAGGGCGGUGGAAAAUUGCUUUAUUUUAAACUCACUUCCGCAGGAUUGAAAAGUCCAAAUACAACCCCCUUCUUCUCCUGCAGUCAAAGGGGGUUCAGAAAUCUUAGAUGUUGAAUUCUAGUUCUCUUAGAAUUUAAUUUUCAAGCUUUAGUAUAUUUUGUCUUUGCUUUCUUCACAUAACAAAAGAACGGAAGGCGACUUCCUGUUUAGACCUUCCCAUUCCGAGUCCCAAUUAAGUUCAAUUUCAAGUCCAAUAUUAUUUGUUUAUUCACCAGUCUUAAAAGUGGUUCAACUCUUCCAAGAUCAGGUACUCACGGAUAGAUAUUUUAGAUGCCAAAUUGUCCAGGAAAAGGCAGCGCUCUCCGAUAACGGCAGUGCAGCUUUGCUGCACGGAGGAAGCAGACGACUCACAGCACCACGCACCUCCCACUCCGGAGCCCGUUCCCGGGCUCCUGUACAAGGGGAGAGAGCGCUCUCGGUGCCCGCCGAGUCCCACGUCCACAGGCUUCUUCCGCCUGUGGUUUUUGCGGGUCCCCGCUGCGCCGUAGCGGCAGGACCCAAGCCUCCGUGCAGCGGGUUCCCUUCAGUCCGAAGGGAAUUCCGCCAUUUUCCGGAGGCGCCACCCCGGAAGUUCUGAAAAAGGUAUUUAAAUAUACCUUCCUGAAGAAACCAGAGGCCUUUCUCCUGGGCAUAGUCGGCCAAUUGGUGUCAAAGAAGGAUAGAACUUUCUUUAUGUAUGCCACAACAGCAGCAAGAAUACUUAUUGCAAAGUAUUGGAAGACACAAGAUCUACCCACCCUGGAAGAAUGGCAGAUGAAGGUGAUGGACUAUAUGGAAUUGGCAGAAAUGACUGGCAGAAUCCGAGACCAGGGAGAAGAGUUAGUGGAAGAAGAUUGGAAAAAGUUUAAAGACUAUUUACAGAAAUAUUGUAAAAUUAAUGAAUGUUAGAAUGAUGUUGGAUAGAAAUUAAGUGGUUUUUAGCUGUAAUACUAUAAGGGAAUAUGAAAAAUGGAUUACUAACAGGUAAAAAUUUAAUGUUACAAUAUUUUAAGAUUAAAGACUAGGAUAAACAAAGAGGGGAAGGAUUUGCUGAACUAACAAACUGAACUGGAAUACAAAAAAGGGAGGCGUGAGGAGGUCCGGGAAACAAGCUAAUGAAAGAUAAGUAACGGAAAGAUUGAGUUGUUUUUAACUACUUUUAUUUUGUAUUUUUCUUUUUUCUUUUUUCAUUUUGUAAUAUCUUGAAAAUUUUAAUAAAUAUCUU
rnacentral:lncRNA from 1 species